CAAAUUCUCUCCUGGCUGUAAAAUCAUGGAAUUCCAGGUAAGGGAAGGAAGGUGAUGGGAAUCUAUUCAUAGUAUUCAAAGAAAACAACCAGGAAAAGAAAUGGGUUUAAAUGAAAGGAAAACAAGAUGUACAAUUAAACAUGUGCUCAUCUCCUUAGCUGUUCAUUAGGCCUCCUUAGAUAUCAUAAAAGUAUGACUUACACCUGUUCACUGGGGACAGUUUGGGCAUAACAGCUACCAUUGAUUUGGUGCUUCUGAUGUGUUUACUACUAUAUUUAACAGUUCACACAUUUUAUUUCACUUAGUGCUCAAGACCUGUGGGUAGGUGUGAGGAUCGUCCCCACUUUGAGAGGAACUAAAUGAAGCCUCCCGAGAUGUUACUGAUUGAGGAACAAAUAUCUAGUGUUUACAGAAAUAAAAGCUCUAUUACAUUUCCUCAUGUCAGAGUAUUCAUAGGGUUUAUGUGCUUCUCUGGGAAGAAAAGGAAAUACAACUGUUUUGCAGUACCUCCAGGCCCAGGUCACCUCUGUCCUCCCUUCCGUCCAUCCCUGGAGCCUCCAACGCCACUGUGAGAGAAAAGAACCGUGCCAAUCUGAGAAAAUCCAAGGGAGAUCUUUUUUGCAAGGCGGAUACAAAUGAAAACAUUGCAAGGCUUUGUUUCCACUUCUCAAUCAGAAAAUGGAUUUAUGAAGGCAGCUGUCUGGUUCAAGGGCAUGCAAGAAGACAUUCAACUCCCUGGAGAAAAGAAAACACAACAAAACGAUGAAGUUUUAUUAACAGGUUAUUUUGAGUCUGUUUCUUCAAAUUCCAGUUCAAAAGUUUGGACCAGGAUAAAUUGAGAGAAAAAACCUUGCCGUGAUUUUGCAAAGUUGGAGCCAGGGAACACACACGCAAGCCUUGAGUCUUUGCAUGGCAGGUUUUUUCAAGUCAGAUUUCCGGUUCAACUAUUGAGCAAAGUAAGGAAUACCAAGCAGAAUUUGAACUUUGCUGUUCAAGUUGUGGGAAGUUGGAGUUGGGAGCCGUUGGAUAGCAGAGGUCUCGCUGAGCUCAGUGACUGUUCAGCAUCAUUGUUCCAGCACUGGAAACACAAAGGGAGGAAAAGCAGUCCAACAGCAGGAGUGCUUGUAUACCACGCAGCUCCAUGCCGUAUCUUUUGAACAAAGAAUGAACCCAAGGAUGAAAAGCAGCCAGAAAGACUACAGAUGCCCCAGGAGAGCCUCUUCCCAUGCCUCACUCUGCCUCAGAGUCCCUGGCACUGGCGUCUGAGUGAGGAAGCAAGAGAGGUGAUCCUGAAGUCCUUAACUGCCCCGUAAGUUACCUGAAAGCCUGCUGUCCUCCCAGGACCUGUCCAAGCUGCACCUGAGGGAGAGAAGCCCACCUGCUCCAGCUCUUCCAGAGUAACAGCACUGACACAGGUGUUCCGUUAAAACCAGCAACCAACCCAGGAAGAUUGGAAUGGACUUGG
rnacentral:lncRNA from 1 species